AUUUAUAUAGUUUAAUAUAAAACAUUAUAUUUUCAAUAUAAAAAUAAAAUCUAUUUUUAUAAAUA
rnacentral:tRNA from 1 species